AGUUCACUCGACCUGCGGUGAAGAUCGACCGCAUUUUAUAACAUUUAUGCUCACUUUAGAAGCUUGUGUAAAUUUAAAUUUCAUCGCCUUCCGCACAUACAUAUUUCAUUAUAAUUCAUGAUAAUGUAUGCAAGGGACUUCCCCUACUGCGCAGUUAAAUUUUUCUGCAUGAACCUAGGAGCAAAGUCCAAUCGCGGGUCCAAUCAUUCCACACAGAAGUUAUAAACAAUUCAAAAGCGACGCAUGGACUAUGGUGUCUAAACGGGGAAAGAAUGCACAGAACAAUCUAACUGAACACAUAUUAACUUUGCAACAAACCUGUUGACGUGUUGUUCUUUCGUUGAGUGAGUGAAAAAGGUACCAAAGGCAAAGUCUUUUGGCGCAUGUGUGUUGUCAGUUCGAAUUGUAAAGCUGAAUGUUGUUGUCGAGAAAAAGCUCAAACGAUAAUGUUUCACAGAAUGAAGAUGUUAACCACGAGUCCACGAGUUAGUUCAAAGAUCACUUCUCAACAUGAAUGUUUUAAUAAAAUCAUAUCCAUUCGACGAAGGACCGAACAAAGAUAACUCUGUCUUUGCUAAGAUUUACCAGCAGGGCAACCGACAAUCAGAUGUGGUGGUCUAGAUGAGGCGGAUCGAGGUAUAUCCAAGUACAUUACAAGCGCUGAAUAAAUUCGUAACAGACCACAUUACUUAAUAUCUUGUAAGACUUGCAUGGGGAUGACCAUCUUCCAAAUGAAACGACUAUUCUGUUAAAAUCAUAAAAUCAUCUCCUUGCCAUAUUGCCGCCAUCAGGCACGUCCAUGUAUAAUUGAUAAGUCACUCAGCACGCUCGUUCAUACAGCCAUACAGUCGCCCUGCAUACAGUUAAUCAAAGAUCGAUAGUUGUCCACUGUAAACCUUGAACGCUAAAGCCAACUUCAAAUACCAUAAGCGUUCGAAGCAUAAUGCGAGUCGUCAAAUGCACAUCUUUAAGGAAGGGUGUUAUUCUAAACUAUAUAUAAUAACGUUUAGUGUUUAUACAAAAUUAAUGCAGCCCAUAGCAUUAAAAGAUUUGUAGCUUUUUUCGAAAUCUUCCAGUAUGUUUUCAAUUCAUAGAUAUAUACCACGUCUUGCUUGUGCAUGUCCUUUAAAACUAGAAGUGGACGAAACACUAAAAAUCUGGUCUGCAGAACUAAUCAUCUUUCAAAGUUAUUUCCUUCCCCAGAUAACGCAGAUGUUCUCACGGCGUCGCUUCUGCAGUGAACUGUGUCCUUCCAAUUCGACUGCUAAAUACGAUGUGGCUGAACAUGUGUACGUCAUGUGAUUGAAAAAUGCGGAAAAACAAGUAUUUGUUCCUGUUACUAAGUUACUUAAUUUCAGCCUUGGUAAUAUGGCAACUGCAGGCAGACUAGAAAACCUUAGUAUGCACACUAGCAUAUUUUGGCGGCAGGUGAUGUGAUAUAUAUUGACGAUAAAUACAACAAUUCCCUAAUACCACGGUUAAUA